rnacentral:lncRNA from 1 species
CCCAUCAUAAUCGGAGGCUUUGGCAACUGGCUAGUUCCCCUAAUAAUUGGUGCCCCCGACAUGGCGUUCCCCGUAUAAAUAACAUAAGCUUCUGACUCCUCCCUCCUUCCUUCUGCUCGCAUCUGCCAUAGUGGAAGCCGGUGCCGGAACAGGUUGGACAGUUUACCCUCCCUUAGCAGGAAAUUACUCCCACCCUGGAGCUUCCGUAGAUCUGACCAUUUUUUCCUUGCAUCUAGCAGGCAUCUCCUCUAUUCUAGGAGCUAUCAACUUCAUUACAACAAUUACAACAUUACAACAUUACAACUUUACAACUUCAUUACAACAAUUAUCAAUAUAAAACCCCCUGCCAUAACUCAAUACCAAACACCCCUUUUCGUCUGAUCCGUCUUAAUCACAGCAGUCCUGCUUCUCCUAUCCCUCCCACUCCUAGCUGCUGGCAUUACCAUGUUAUUAACAGACCGCAACCUCAAUACCACCUUCUUUGACCCGGCCGGAGGAGGAGACCCUAUCCUGUACCAACACCUAUUCUGAUUUUUUUGGCCACCCCGAAGUUUAUAUUCUUAUCCUACCAGGCUUUGGAAUAAUUUCCCACAUUGUAACUUACUACCCCGGAAAAAAGGAACCAUUCGGGUAUAUAGGCAUGGUCUGGGCUAUGAUAUCAAUUGGUUUCUUAGGAUUUAUUGUAUGAGCCCACCAUAUAUUUACAGUAGGAAUAGACGUAGACACACAAGCCUACUUCACCUCUGCUACCAUAAUUAUCACUAUUCCCACUGGCGUCAAAGUAUUUAGUUGGCUCGCUACACUCCACGGAAGCAAUACCAAAUGAUCUGCUGCAGUACUCUGAGCCCUAGGGUUCAUUUUUCUCUUCACUGUAGGUGGCCUAACCGGCAUUGUAUUAGCAAACUCAUCAUUAGAUAUCAUACUACACGAUACAUACUACGUCGUAGCUCACUUCCAUUACGUUCUAUCAAUAGGAGCUGUAUUCGCCAUCAUAGGGGGUUUUAUCCACUGAUUCCCUCUGUUCUCAGGUUACACUCUAGACCAAACCUAUGCCAAAAUUCAUUUUGCUAUCAUGUUCAUUGGUGUAAAUCUAACUUUCUUCCCACAACACUUUCUUGGCCUAUCUGGAAUACCCCAACGUUACUCGGACUACCCCGAUGCAUACACCACAUGAAAUAUUCUAUCAUCUGUAGGCUCAUUUAUUUCCCUAACAGCAGUAAUACUAAUAAUUUUUAUAAUUUGAGAAGGCUUCGCUUCAAAACGAAAAGCCCUAAUAAUCGAACAACCCUCCACCAACCUGGAGUGGCUAUAUGGAUGCCUUCCACCCUAUCAUACGUUCGAAGAACCCAUAUACAUAAAA